rnacentral:rRNA from 1 species
AUUGAACGCUGGCGGCAUGCUUUACACAUGCAAGUCGAACGGUAACAGGCCGCAAGGUGCUGACGAGUGGCGAACGGGUGAGUAAUGCAUCGGAACGUGCCCAGUCGGGGGGGAUAACGCAGCGAAAGCUGUGCUAAUACCGCAUACGAUCUAUGGAUGAAAGCGGGGGACCGUAAGGCCUCGCGCGAUUGGAGCGGCCGAUGUCGGAUUAGGUAGUUGGUGGGGUAAAGGCCUACCAAGCCAACGAUCUGUAGCUGGUCUGAGAGAACGACCAGCCACACUGGGACUGAGACACGGCCCAGACUCCUACGGGAGGCAGCAGUGGGGAAUUUUGGCCAAUGGGCGCAAGCCUGAUCCAGCAAUGCCGCGUGCAGGAAGAAGGCCUUCGGGUUGUAAACUGCUUUUGUACGGAACGAAACGGUCUGGGUUAAUACCCUGGGCUAAUGACGGUACCGUAAGAAUAAGCACCGGCUAACUACGUGCCAGCCGCCGCAGUAACAC